UUAAAUGUGUCGUUGAGUUCUGUCUGAAUGUAAGCAUUUUUUCCCCUCAGUGGAACGCAGACGGAGGGACAAGAUCAACAACUGGAUUGUCCAGCUUUCCAAAACAAUCCCUGACUGCAAUGUGGAUGCAACCAAGAAUGGUCAAAGUAAAGGUUGGAUCUUGUCCAAAGCAUGUGAUUAUAUUCAAGAGCUGCGUCAGAGCAAUGCACGACUGGAAGAGGAACGACAUGCUGUAGAUAGACUGAGGAUGGACAAUCAGCUUCUCAAACAAGAGAUGGAAGAGUGGAAAUCAAAGAAUCAGAUGAUCAGAGCCCAGUUAAGACAGCACGGCAUAGUGGCAGCAUCAAUGGACUCUAAGUGAAGAACUGCAGAUCAACUAUAAGCUUCUCCAGCUGUGGUCUUGUCAUUGAUUCUGUUUAUCCAGGUUUAAAAUGACAUGUAAGAAGUAAUUCUUACUGUGUACAAUCACACUUUUCUCUUUGUCUCCUUCACUGUUCACUUUCACACACAGCCUUUGAUUGUUUCAGAUUAUUUCCAGAGAGAUCUGGUAUUUUAACUGCACUGAAAUUGUGUAUAAUUGUCAGAUCUGUAUAUUUGUAGAUCUGUGUCUAAAGAAUGAUUAUACUUUUAAGGGCUACUGUGAUGGUGUUUCAGAUGUUAUUUUUAUUUUUUAAUUGAAAUGUGUUUACAGCUUGGUGACCUUCAUCGUGUUCUUUAAGCAAAAUGUUAUUGUUUUAUGUGUAUUCAGUCAGAAGUUGUUGCUGAAACCAUUUCUUAUGCAAUGCCUUGACAAACAUUUUGGGCCAAAACACCAGCUAUAAAAUUUGGUCAUUUAUAUAUUGCAAUUAUGAAAUGUUCACAUCCCAGUAAAUUUAC